ACGGCCCUUAUGUCCAGGGCUACACACGUGUUACAAUGGUCGGUACAGAGGGCAGCUACCUGGUGACAGGAUGCUAAUACUCGAAAACCGGUCUCAGUUCGGAUCGAAGUCUGCAACUCGACUUCGUGAAGCUGGAUUCGCUAGUAAUCGCGGAUCAGCAUCGCCGCCGGUGAAUACGGUUCCCGGCUU
rnacentral:rRNA from 1 species